AGUGAACGCUGGCGGUAGGCCUAACACAUGCAAGUCGAACGGCAGCACAGUAAGAGCUUGCUCUUACGGGUGGCGAGUGGCGGACGGGUGGGGAAUACAUCGGAAUCUACUUUUUCGUGGGGGAUAACGUAGGGAAACUUACGCUAAUACCGCAUACGACCUACGGGUGAAAGCAGGGGAUCUUCGGACCUUGCGCGAUUGAAUGAGCCGAUGUCGGAUUAGCUAGUUGGCGGGGUAAAGGCCCACCAAGGCGACGAUCCGUAGCUGGUCUGAGAGGAUGAUCAGCCACACUGGAACUGAGACACGGUCCAGACUCCUACGGGAGGCAGCAGUGGGGAAUAUUGGACAAUGGGCGCAAGCCUGAUCCAGCCAUACCGCGUGGGUGAAGAAGGCCUUCGGGUUGUAAAGCCCUUUUGUUGGGAAAGAAAAGCAGUAGGUUAAUACCCCGCUGUUCUGACGGUACCCAAAGAAUAAGCACCGGCUAACUUCGUG
rnacentral:rRNA from 1 species